GAGGGAUAUUGGGCAAUGGGGGAAACCCUGACCCAGCAACGCCGCGUGAGGGAUGACGGUUUUCGGAUUGUAAACCUCUGUCCUCUGUGAAGAUAGUGACGGUAGCAGAGGAGGAAGCUCCGGCUAACUACGUGCCAGCAGCCGCGGUAAUACGUAGGGAGCAAGCGUUGUCCGGAUUUACUGGGUGUAAAGGGUGCGUAGGCGGAUUGGCAAGUCAGAAGUGAAAUCCAUGGGCUUAACCCAUAAACUGCAUUUGAAACUGUGGUUCUUGAGUGAAGUAGAGGUAAGCGGAAUUCCUAGUGUAGCGGUGAAAUGCGUAGAUAUUAGGAGGAACAUCAGUGGCGAAGGCGGCUUACUGGGCUUUAACUGACGCUGAGGCUCGAAAGCGUGGGGAGCAAACAGGAUUAGAUACCCUGGUAGUCCACGCCGUAAACGAUGAUUACUAGGUGUGGGGGGACUGACCCCUUCCGUGCCGCAGCAAACGCAAUAAGUAAUCCACCUGGGGAGUACGACCGCAAGGUUGAAACUCAAAGGAAUUGACGGGGGCCCGCACAAGCAGUGGAGUAUGUGGAUUAAUUCGAAGCAACGCGAAGAACCUUACCAGGUCUUGACAUCGUAUGCAUAGCUCAGAGAUGAGUGAAAUCUCUUCGGAGACAUAUAGACAGGUGGUGCAUGGUUGUCGUCAGCUCGUGUCGUGAGAUGUUGGGUUAAGUCCCGCAACGAGCGCAACCCUUACUGUUAGUUGCUACGCAAGAGCACUCUAGCAGGACUGCCGUUGACAAAACGGAGGAAGGUGGGGAUGACGUCAAAUCAUCAUGCCCCUUAUGACCUGGGCCUCACACGUACUACAAUGGCUGUUAACAGAGGGAUGCAAAGCCGCAAGGUGGAGCGAACCCCUAAAAGCAGUCUUAGUUCGGAUUGUAGGCUGCAACCCGCCUACAUGAAGUCGGAAUUGCUAGUAAUCGCAGAUCAGCAUGCUGCGGUGAAUACGUUCCCG
rnacentral:rRNA from 1 species